UAAUGGCACGAGUUUCUGCAAGGCACAGCCGGGUUCCGGGUAGAUCUCAGCUCGGCACCCUUCCUGGAGGCCCAGGGACGGGCCAUGGACAGCAAGUGGGGAUCGAACUCGGGACCUUGUGCUUUUGAGGCAGGUGGCGGAACCACUGAGCUAAAUCCCAGCCCUUGAAAUGACUUUUUACUCCUCAGCCAACUAACUUGUUAAUGGGAUGAAGACAUGGGACCGUAUGUGUUCUCAUAGCACAAGACCACAAACAGCCAUGGCUCCAUCUGCUACUUCCUAAGAGAAAGGAAAACAGAAAAAGCCCCACUUCCUCCGCCUAUUGUCGUGGCUGUCCCUCUCCUCCCCUCGUUUCCUGUUGCCUGUCAGUUCUUCGGGGACGUCCAGCGCUCUGCCUGGCUCCAGCCUCGCUGUGAUCUCUGGGGACAACCCUCCCUGUGCCAACGCUCCGGAUCGGCCUUAGGGUCCCCAGCUCGCCUUUGUUGGUUUCACCCCAGAAGGAGCCCCAGGGGUGUCUGGUUCCGGAAAUGCCAUCCUCGACUUCCCUUGCUCAGCAUGGUAGAAAUAAAUUUGUAAUAUUCUGUUAGUGAAGGGUUAAUGUGCCCUGUCUGCAGAACAAACAUCAGAGCUUGGCGUCCUCAUCUACGGGGCAGCAAGAGACCGUUACUGCGUGGCAGCCUUGGAUCCCAUUGACAUCAAGACGGAUUUAUUAAAUUAAUAAAUAGUGGAAGGUUUUCAGCCUCUCAUUUCCAGCCCUUCCCACCCACGAGGUGAUCUUCUGCAACCUUCCACCCGUCGCCUUGACUUUUUAUUAUCUGUGACCUUUCUUUCUUUUUGG